rnacentral:rRNA from 1 species
UACGAAGGGGGGCUAGCGUUGUUCGGAAUGACUGGGCGUAAAGGGCGCGUAGGCGGCGAUGUAAGUCAGGCGUGAAAGCCCCGGGCUCAACCUGGGAACGGCGCUUGAUACUGCGUUGCUUGAGGACGGGAGAGGAUGGUGGAAUUCCCAGUGUAGAGGUGAAAUGCGUAGAUAUCUGGAGGAACACCGGUGGCGAAGGCGGCAUCCUGGACCAAUACUGACGCUGAGGAGCGAAAGCCAGGGGAGCAAACGGG